UUUGUUUUGCUGCGAGCAGUGGUUUCAGUUUGUUUUGUGCGCGCGUUCCGGACGGUAGUGAUUGCCGUAUGUCAUCGUCGUCGUCGUCGCCGUCGUUAUUGCCGUCGCCGCCGUCGUCGUUGGCAUAGUCGUAGAGUUCGUGCGAAAACACAGCCAAAGCGUAGCUGGUAAAAACGUUGCACCAACAAAAUGUUUGAGAAAAUGUUCAAUAAAUUAAAUUGACAAUUUAGUAAUAGAAAAUAAAUAGCGAAGCAAAACUCUUGCGGAAUAUUCAAAAUAAAUGCCAAAACAUAAUAAUAAAAACAAAAACAUUGAUAUUAAAAGUAAAACUGAAAAUUAAAACAAGCUCAAGCGCAACUUCGAGGCUUAACGUGACAGACGACAGGCCACAACAACAACAGCCAGAAAAAGAAAAGCAAGAGGAAGAGCAACAGCAACUGCCGCAAAUGCAGCAGCGAUCGUUGGCGUCGUCGCUGCGGCGCGUCAA